rnacentral:rRNA from 1 species
UACACACCGCCCGUCACACCAUGGGAGUUGGUUCUACCCGAAGCCGGUGCGCUAACCGCAAGGAAGCAGCCGACCACGGUAGGGUCAGCGACUGGGUG